AGCCGAAACGCCCCACGGGGCGUCCACCGGGGAUCGCCUCCCGGCGCUGAUGAUGGCAGGCGCGA
rnacentral:hammerhead_ribozyme from 1 species